rnacentral:rRNA from 1 species
GGCGGCGUGCCUAAUACAUGCAAGUCGAGCGGACAGAUGGGAGCUUGCUCCCUGAUGUUAGCGGCGGACGGGUGAGUAACACGUGGGUAACCUGCCUGUAAGACUGGGAUAACUCCGGGAAACCGGGGCUAAUACCGGAUGCUUGUUUGAACCGCAUGGUUCAAACAUAAAAGGUGGCUUCGGCUACCACUUACAGAUGGACCCGCGGCGCAUUAGCUAGUUGGUGAGGUAACGGCUCACCAAGGCAACGAUGCGUAGCCGACCUGAGAGGGUGAUCGGCCACACUGGGACUGAGACACGGCCCAGACUCCUACGGGAGGCAGCAGUAGGGAAUCUUCCGCAAUGGACGAAAGUCUGACGGAGCAACGCCGCGUGAGUGAUGAAGGUUUUCGGAUCGUAAAGCUCUGUUGUUAGGGAAGAACAAGUACCGUUCGAAUAGGGCGGUACCUUGACGGUACCUAACCAGAAAGCCACGGCUAACUACGUGCCAGCAGCCGCGGUAAUACGUAGGUGGCAAGCGUUGUCCGGAAUUAUUGGGCGUAAAGGGCUCGCAGGCGGUUUCUUAAGUCUGAUGUGAAAGCCCCCGGCUCAACCGGGGAGGGUCAUUGGAAACUGGGGAACUUGAGUGCACAAGAGGAGAGUGGAAUUCCACGUGUAGCGGUGAAAUGCGUAGAGAUGUGU